UCCAUAUUGCAUUUUUUUCAGAGACCAAACAUUCCUGCUCAACUAAUUCCAGUGCUAGGACAUGAAUUCAAUUCAUAUGACGAUGCAUUCAAUUUUUUUAAUGACUACGCCAAACAUGCUGGGUUCGGCAUAAGGAAAGGACAGAGAAAUAAGAAGAAACGCUACUUAUAUUGCGUACACUCUGGCAAAUACAUAUCCUCUGUUCACGAUGCAGAUCAUCAGCACAACAAAGUAACAAAAGAAAUGUGCAAGACAAUGAUGCUCUUGAAAUAAAGAGGCGACGGGACUUGUGUUGUCAAAGAGAUUGUGAUUGAACACAACCACAUGCUCCUCAACAGCCCGUCCGCGCUUGUGUUUUUGCAUUCACACAAGACGAUGGAUCCAAUAGUGAAAGAAUACAUAAAAGACCUGCAUAAGACAAAUUUUAAGCGUGUGAAUAUCAUGGGUCUGCUUUCUUGGUUAUCUGGUGGGCGCGACAAAUUUCCUUUUACAGACAAGGACAUGCUUAACAUGUAA
rnacentral:rRNA from 1 species